GGUCCUAUGGCCCAAUGGUUAAGGCGCCCGCCUACGAAGCGGGAGACUCCAGGUUCAAAUCCUGGUAGGAUCG
rnacentral:tRNA from 1 species